CACCACUGGUCGGUCUGCAGGAGAAAAUGAGAAAUAUAUAGUAUAAUGCCGCCUGAUUAUACCAGAAAUACAUUCCCAAAUUUUAUGUGUGUGUACACAUUCCUGAGGUGGGGGAUAGCUCACUUGGGUGAGGGGCUAUAGAUUAGAUGAAGCA